GACGAACGCUGGCGGCGUGCUUAACACAUGCAAGUCGAACGGAAAGGCCCCUUUGGGGGUACUCGAGUGGCGAACGGGUGAGUAACACGUGCGUAACCUUCCCUUGACUUCGGGAUAACUUCAGGAACCUGGGGCUAAUACCGGAUAGGAAUCCUUGCUGCAUGGUGGGGGUUGGAAAGCUUCGGCGGUUUUGGAUGGACUCGCGGCUUAUCAGCUUGUUGGUGGGGUGGUGGCUUACCAAGGCUUUUACGGGUAGCCGGCCUGAGAGGGCGACCGGCCACAUUGGGACUGAGAGAAGGCCCAGACUCCGACGGGAGGGAGCAGGGGGGAAUAUUGAAGAAGGAGCGGAAGCCGGGUGAAGCAAGGCCGCGGGCGGGAUGACGGCCUUAGGGUUGAAAACCGCAUGCAGCAGGGGCGAAGCUUGUGGUGACGGUACCUGCAGAAGAAGCACCGGCUAACUACGUG
rnacentral:rRNA from 1 species